ensembl:lncRNA
CAGGUGACAUGGCACAGAUGACACAGGUGGCACAGGUGGCUCAGGUAGCACAGGUGACAUGGCGCAGGUGGCUCAGGUAGCCCAGGUGACAAGGCACAGGUGACGCAGGUGAUGUGGCACUGUGGCACAGGUAGCCCGGGCUGGGGCGGGUCCUGCCCCCCCUCUCGCUCAUUCCCUGUGGGAUCUGUUCCCGCUCCAGGCUGGUGGGACCCGGUGGGACCCGCCCCCGCGGGCAGCUGGCGGCAGGUGAGGCCCUGGCACCGCAGGUGUCCCCGAGCUCACCUGGCCUGGCCAGGGACACCUGGGGAGCCCCGGGAACCGGGGAGCUCUGCGGGGGGACGGGGUAGUGGGAUAGCGGGUAACGGGAUAGUGGGAUAUCGGGAUAAUGGGAUAGUGGGAUAAUGGGAUAGGAUGGGAUAUCGGGAUAAUGGGGUAGGAUGGGAUAAUGAGAUAGUGGGAUAAUGGGAUAGUGGGAUGAGAUAAUGGGAUAUGGGGAUAAUUGGAUAAUGGAAUAUUGGGAUAAUGGGCUAACAGGAUGGGAUAAUGGAUAUCAGGAUAAUGGGAUAUCAGGAUAAUGGGAUAAUAGGAUGGGGUAAUGGGAUAACAGGCUGGGAUAAUAGGAUAUCAGGAUAAUUGGAUAACAGGCUGGGAUAAUGGGAUAUCAAGAUAAUGGGAUGAUGGGAAAUUGGGAUAAUGAAAUAUCAGGAUAAUGGGAUAUCAGGAUGGGAUAAUGGGAUAGUGGCAUAUCGGGAUAAUGGGGUAAUGGGAUAAUAGGAUAAUGGGACAGGAUAAUGGGAUAGUAGGAUAUCAGGAUAAUGGAAUAGUAGGAUAAUGGGGUGGGAUAAUGGGAUAACAGGAUGGAAUGAUGGGAUAAAGGGAUGGGGCUGGAUGGGAUAGGAUCCAUGGGAUGGGAUAAUGGGGUGGGAUUGGAUCCAUGGAAUGGGAUGGGAUCAAUGGGAUUGGAAGGGAUCCAUGGUGUGGGAAGGCACCAUGGGAUGGGAUCCACAGAAUGGGAUGGGUUCAAUGGGAUGGGAUUGGGAUGGAAUGGGAGAGAUGGAUGGGAUGGGAUCCGUGGGAUCAAGGGAAUCCAUGGGAUCAAUGGGAUGGGAUAAUGGGAUGGGAUCCAUGGGAUCCAUGGGAUGGGACAGUUCCCUUCCUUCCAUGUGUCCCAGUGAUGGAUUUGUCCCAUUUUCCACCCCAGCCAUGCAGGAGCUGCCGGGUCCUGCCACGCCCACUCAGGAGGAUCCAGCAGCUCCUCCAGCCCCACCCCGCCCGGAGAACCCCCGAGCUCUCCCGUCCUGGCUCUGUCCGGAGCAUCCCGCAGCUUUCCCAGCCCGGAGGCACCAGGAGGCUCCAGGAGCUCUCCCAUCCCAGCCCCACCAGGAGGCUCCAGGAGCUCUCCCGUCCCAGCCCCACCAGGAUUCCCAAACUCUCCAAUCCCACCCGUGCCAGGAGCAUCCCGGCUGUGGGAUCGCCCUGCGCAGCCUCCAGGCCCGGCUGGAGGAACUGGAAAACCAGGUGGGGGCUGAGGGUAUCACCUGGGGGGGCACCUGGGGCACGGCCACUCCAGGGUGGCACUUGGAGCCCGUCCCAUUCCCGCCAGGUGGCGGACGCUGGAGCUGGAGCGGGCACGGCAGGAACUGGUCCUGCAGCACCUCCCAGAGAGCGGCCACAGGUAACGGGGUCUCACCUGGGCUCCCAGUUCCCUGCUCCAGAUCCCGGGAUGACCCCAGAUCCGAGGAUCACCCUGGGGCACAGGAUCACCCCAGAUCUCUGGAUGACAACAGACCCCUGAAUCACCCCACAUCCCAGGAUCACCCUGGAUCCCACCACCACCCCAGAUCCCUGGAUCACCCUGGGGCACAGGAUCACCCCAGAUCCCAGGUUCACCCCACAUCCCUGGAUCACCCAGAUCCCAGGAUCACCCCGCAUCCCAGGAUCACCCCACAUCCCAUGAUCACUCCAGACCCCUGGAUCACUCCAGAUCUCUGGAUCCUUGAGACCCCAGGAUCACCCCACAUCCCAUGAUCACUCCAGACCCCAGGACCACCCCAUAUCCCAUGAUCAUCCCAGAUCCCAGGAUCACCCCAGGCUCCUGGAUUACCCCAGAUCCCAGAAUCACCCCAGAUCCCUGGAUCACCCCACAUCCCAUAAUCACUCCAGAUCCUUGGAUCACCCCACAUCCCAUGAUCACCCCAGACCCCAGGAUCACCCCAGACCCCGGGAUCACCCCGGAACCCAGGAGCAGCACGAGCAGCUCACAGGUAAAUUCCCUCCAAGUGCAUCGUUCCAGUGGGACCCUCUGCUUGUUCCCAACGGCUCGGAGCCGAUCCCACAGAAUCCAGGCGGUCCCGGGACAAGUCCUGGUGUCCUGGAGGAUUCCUGGGCCUGUAGAUCCCUGUCCCAGCCCUCCUGGGGGGAUUCCUGGCCAGAGGCUCUGCUGCUCCAGUGCCCAGCGGCGCUCGAACAGGGCUGCUCCAGUGCCCAGCGGCGCUCGAACAGGGGCUGCUCCAGUGCCCAGCGGCACUCGAACAGGGGCUGCUCCAGCGCCCAUUGGCGCUCGAACAGGGGCUGCUCCAGCGCCCAUUGGCGCUCGAACAGGGACUGGCUCCAGUGCCCAGUGCUGCUCGAACAGGGGCUGCUCCAGCGCCCAUUGGCGCUCGAACAGGGACUGGCUCCAGUGCCCAGCGGCACUCGAACAGGGGCUGCUCCAGUGCCCAGCGGCGCUCGAACAGGGGCUGCUCCAGUGCCCAGAGGCGCUCGAACAGGGGCUGGCUCCGUCCGGGAUCCCACCGGAUCCUCAGGAAAGGGGAAGAGUUCCACGGGAUAUUCACUGGAAUCACGAGGAAUUGCAUGAAAUUCACUGAAUUUUCCGAUUCACAGAAUUUGCAGAAGUUCACAGAGUUCACAGAACUCAUGGAAUUCACGGAAUGCACAGAAUCCAUGGAAUUCUCAGAAGUCACGGAAUUCAUGAAAUUCACGGAAUUCUCCAAAUUCACAGAAUUCACAGAAUUUGCAGGAUUCACAGAAUUCUUC